CACGUAGGGUGCGAGCGUUUGUCCGGAAUUAUUGGGCGUAAAGAGCUCGUAGGCGGUGUGUCGCGUCGGCCGUGAAAACCUGCAGCUUAACUGUGGGCUUGCGGUCGAUACGGGCAUCACUGGAGUUCGGCAGGGGAGACUGGAAUUCCUGGUGUAGCGGUGAAAUGCGCAGAUAUCAGGAGGAACACCGGUGGCGAAGGCGGGUCUCUGGGCCGAUACUGACGCUGAGGAGCGAAAGCGUGGGGAGCGAACAGG
rnacentral:rRNA from 1 species